rnacentral:lncRNA from 1 species
AGAGGAGAAUACCAGUAAAGACAAGCAGAGACUGGAGUUAUGUAGCCAUGAGCCAAGGACUCCUCAGAGCCACCAGAAGGUGGAAGAAUAGGAAGCAUCCUUCCCCAGCACCUUUGGAAGAAUUGCAUUCCUGUCAAACCUUGAUUUGGUGUGUUACUCAUGGACCCAAUCAACCAUCUCAGCAGAGGCCAAGAAUCAAGGGAUGGAAAUGAGAAUGGCACUACCCACCCCUAGAGAUCCACUAGCAAAAUUUUUGCUUCCAAUCUCUGCGACCUUAUGUUUUACUGGUCUAGAGAUCUUAGUUUCAAAGGAAGGAAUGCUUUCCACUAGGAGACACAACAAUGAUUCCAUUGAACUGGAAGUUAAGACUGCCAUCCAGCUGCUUUGGGUUCCUCUUGCCUCUAAAUCAACAGGCAAAGAAGGAAGUUACUGUACUAGCUGGGGUGAUUGGGCCUGAUGAGCAAGGAGAAACUGGGCUGCUAAUACAAUUGAAGGUAAGAAGGAUUUUAUCUAGAGUACUGGAGUUUCCUUAGGGCAUCCCUUGGUACCACCAUGUGCUGUGAUUAAAGUCAAUGAAGAACUACAACUCAAUCCAGGCAGGACUCAUAAUUGUCCACACCCCUCAGAAAUGAAGGUUGUGUAACCCCACCAGGCAAAAUACCACAACCAGCUGAGGUGUUUGCUGAGGGCAAAGGGAAUAUGAAAUAGUAAUGAAAGAUGGCAGUUAUAAGUACCUAGCUAUGAGCACAUGACUGGUUGCAGAAAUGAGGACUAUAAUUGUUAUUUCUUCUUUGUUUUUGUAUGAAUAUGUGAUAUUUAUGUGUGUGUGCAUAUGUAGUAUUUUUGUUUUCUUCCCUCUCUUAUCCCUUUAUAAUCUAACAUAAGAUGUAUUAAUAAUAGUUAACUUCACGUCACAGUAUUUAUUUCAGUUACAGGAUGUCAAGGAGAAGAGUGAACAUUAUUCAAAGGUAUUUGCAUCCUCUUCUAGGGAAAGAGUUGGUGCAGUUUUGGUUGUAUGCUGGAUAAUUGUAUCAUGUUAGGUGGAAAUAUGACUUUGUUAUUAUCUUUAUUUGAAGAUUAAGCAUAGUUUAAGGAGAUGUGUAUGGUACCAAGAUUACAAGGGGUAGACGGUGAUGAUUAGUUUUGUGUGUUAACUUAGCUAGGCUAUAGUGUCCAGUUAUUCAAUCAAAUACUAAUCUAGGUGUUGUUACAAAGAUAUUUUGGAGAUGUGAUUAACAUCUAUAAUCAGUUGACUUUAGGUAAAGAAGAUGAUUCUCAGUAAUCUGGGUGGGCCUCAUCCAAUCAGCUGAAAGAUCUUAAGAGCAAAACUGAGCUUUCCCUGAGGAAGAAAAUUCCACCUGUGGACUGCAGCAUCAGGUCUUUCCUGAGGGUUUCCAGCCUGCUGCCCAGCCCUACAGAUUUCAGAUUUGCAUAGCCAGCCCCCACAAUCAUGUAAGCCAGGGGCCCCCCAACCCUUAGGUCAUGGACGAGUACUGAUCCGUGGCCUGCUAGGAAGUGGGCUGCACAGCAGGAGGUGAGCACCCAAGAGCAUUAUUGCCUGAGCUGUGCCUCCUUGUCCAAUCAGCAGCGGCAUUAUAUUCUCACAGGAAUGAACCCUAUUGUGCAUGCAAGGGAUCUAGGUUGAGUCCUCCUUAUGAGAAUCUAAUGCCUGGCAAUCUGAGGUGGAACAGUUUCACCCUGAAACCAUCCCCCUGCCCCUAUCAAUGGGAAAACUCUCUUCCACGAAAACUGUCCCUGGUGCCAAAAAGGUUGGGGACCGCUGAUGUAAGCCAAUUUCUUGUAUGUAUCCUACUAAACUCCAACUGAUAUAAUUAAUAUUAGACAAAGUAGAUUUUAUGGCAAGAAGAACGAUUGGAUGAUUGGAGAUAAUCAUAUAAUAUAUAUAUAGUUUUUGUUUGUUUCUGUAUAUAUAUAUAUACACACAUAUAUAUAGUUUUUGUUGGUUUGUUUGUUGGUUGGUUUGUUUUUGAGACAGAGUCUCACUCUGUCACCCAGGCUGGAGUGCAGUGGUGCAAUCUCGGCUCACUGCAACCGCCACCUCCCAGGUUCAAGCGAUUCUCAUGCCUCAGCCUCCUGAGUAGCUGGGACUACAGGCACGGGCCACCAUGCCCAGCUAAUUUUUUUUUUGUAUUUUUGGUAGAGACGGGAU